rnacentral:rRNA from 1 species
UUUCUCUCCGCGGUUGUAGGACCUGCCGAAGGGCUACUGCUAAAGCAAAUCGAUUAGCCAUGCGAGUCUAGGGAUCUUCGGAUCCUGGCGUAAUGCUCAGUAACACGUGGAUAAUCUACCCUCAGGUGGGGCAUAAACCCGGGAAACUGGGGCCAAUUCCCCAUAAAUACAGAUGGCUGGAAUGCUUCUGUAUUCAAAGCUCCGGCGCCUGAGGAUGAGUCUGCGGCCUAUCAGGUUGUAGUCAGGGUCAAGACCUGACUAGCCAGCGACGGGUAUGGGGUGUGAGAGCACUUGCCCAGAGAUGGUUUCUGAGACACGAAACCAGGCCCUACGGGGCGCAGCAGGCGCGAAAACUUCGCAAUGCGGGAAACCGUGACGAGGGAACUCCGAGUGUCUAUGCAUUGCAUAGACUGUUUUUUAGCCUAAAUAGCUAUUAGAGUAAGGGGUGGGCAAGACCGGUGCCAGCCGCCGCGGUAACACCGGCACCCCGAGUGGUAGCCACUAUUAUUGGGCCUAAAGCGUUCGUAGCCGGUUUGGUAAAUUCUUGGGUAAAUCGUACCGCUCAACGGUGCGGAUUCCGGGGGCACUACCAGACUUGAGACCGGGGGAGAUCAGAGGUACUUGCGGGGGAGCGGUGAAAUGUUGUAAUCCCGCAGGGACCACCAGUGGCGAAGGCGUCUGAUCAGAACGGCUCUGACGGUGAGGAACGAAACCCUGGGGCGCAAACGGGAUUAGAUACCCCGGUAGUCCAGGGCGUAAACGCUGCUGACUUGGUGUUGGGGAUCCUACGAGGAUGUCCAGUGCUGGCGCGAAGGUAUUAAGUCAGCCGCCUGGGGAGUACGGUCGCAAGACUGAAACUAAAGGAAUGGCGGGGAGCACUGCAACCCGAAGAGCGUGCGGUUUAAUUGAUC